AUGACGUCAAGUCAGCAUGGCCCUUAUGUCUUGGGUACACCCACGCUGCAAUGGCCGGUACAACGGGCUGCGAAGCCGCGAGGCGGAGCGAAUCCCUUAAAGCCGGUCUCAGUUCGAAUUGCAGGCUGCAACUCGCCUGCAUGAAGCCGGAGUUGCUAGUAACCGCUGGUCAGCACACAGCGGUGAAUAUGUUCCCCCGGCUUGUACACACCGCCCGUCAAGUCACGAAAG
rnacentral:rRNA from 1 species